rnacentral:misc_RNA from 1 species
UACAGAGGGGGCGAGCGUUGCCCGGAUUCACUGGGCGUAAAGCGGGUGUAGGCGGUCCGUUAAGUCGGAUGUGAAAUCCCAGGGCUUAACCCUGGAAUUGCAUCCGAUACUGGCGGACUUGAGGACGGUAGAGGUAGGUGGAAUUCCCGGUGUACCGGUGAAAUGGGCAGAUAUCGGGAGGAACACCAGUGGCGAAGGCGGCCGACUGGGCCGAUCCUGACGCUGAGACCCGAAAGCCAGGGGAGCGAACCGG